rnacentral:rRNA from 1 species
UACGUAGGCAGCAAGCGUUGUUCGGAGUUACUGGGCGUAAAGAGUGCGUAGGCGGUCCUGUAAGUUUGGUGUGAAAUCUCCCGGCUCAACUGGGAGGGUGCGCCGAAGACUGCAGGGCUUGAGUAUGGGAGAGGUAAGCGGAAUUCCUGGUGUAGCGGUGAAAUGCGUAGAUAUCAGGAGGAACACCUGUGGUGUAGACAGCUUACUGGACCAUCACUGACGCUGAGGCACGAAAGCGUGGGGAGCAAACAGG